rnacentral:rRNA from 1 species
UACGUAGGGUGCAAGCGUUAAUCGGAAUUACUGGGCGUAAAGCGUGCGCAGGCGGUUAUGUAAGACAGUUGUGAAAUCCCCGGGCUCAACCUGGGAACUGCAUCUGUGACUGCAUAGCUAGAGUACGGUAGAGGGGGAUGGAAUUCCGCGUGUAGCAGUGAAAUGCGUAGAGAUCGUAAGGAAGACCAGUGGCGAAGGCGGGUCUCUGGACAGUUCCUGACACUGAGGCACGAAGGCCAGGGGAGCAAACGGG